rnacentral:sRNA from 12 species
AUCCGUUAAGUGAUUGGGCUUAACGAAGGGCUGAGUGGGGCCGGAAAU